rnacentral:snRNA from 1 species
AUACUUACCUGGCAGGGGAGAUACCAUGAUCACGAAGGUGGUUUUCCCAGGGCGAGGCUUAUCCUAUUGCACUCCGGAUGUGCUGAUCCCAGCGAUUUCCCCAAAUGUGGGAAACUCGACUGCAUAAUUUGUGGUAGUGGGGGACUGCGUUCGCGCUUUCCCCUG